ACUCCUACGGGAGGCAGCAGUAGGGAAGUCUUCCACAAUGGGCGCAAGCCUGAUGGAGCAACACCGCGUGAGUGAAGAAGGGUUUCGGCUCGUAAAGCUCUGUUGUUAAAGAAGAACACGUAUGAGAGUAACUGUUCAUACGUUGACGGUAUUUAACCAGAAAGUCACGGCUAACUACGUGCCAGCAGCCGCGGUAAUACGUAGGUGGCAAGCGUUAUCCGGAUUUAUUGGGCGUAAAGAGAGUGCAGGCGGUUUUCUAAGUCUGAUGUGAAAGCCUUCGGCUUAACCGGAGAAGUGCAUCGGAAACUGGAUAACUUGAGUGCAGAAGAGGGUAGUGGAACUCCAUGUGUGGCGGUGGAAUGCGUAGAUAUAUGGAAGAACACCAGUGGCGAAGGCGGCUACCUGGUCUGCAACUGACGCUGAGACUCGAAAGCAUGGGUAGCGAACAGGAUUAGAUACCCUGGUAGGAUAGCC
rnacentral:rRNA from 1 species